rnacentral:sRNA from 1 species
UUUUGGGUGGCAGCUCAGAGGCAAAGCAGCUGUGAAGACAGGAAAAUGCCUCCAAGCCUCUCCCUCCACGUCAAGCACUGAAAGGAGGCAUCCUGUGUGGCAAGACAAGCCCUGUGGUCACCUGGGAAGGAGCCAUGAGGAAGUUCAGAUUUUAUAAAGGAAGAGGAAGGGUGCCACACGGGGCCUCUGGCCUCUAUUUUAACUCUAGAAGAUCCAGAGUGGCCGAGACAUAACGUUAUCUGGGGGAGAGGCCCCCGUGCUAGGUAUCGGCAUGGGAGGAGUUGAAGCUGGUAAUGACUGCAUGAU